UGCCAGCAGCGGAUCAGAGAGAGUGCUGGGUCAAUAAGCGACCGGCAGGAUUACUAUUUCCUGAUGAUUGUGAUAUUUUUCCCUGAACCUUGUGGGUCCACAGACAGCGUGGGCCCCUGGACUUCAGCCCAGGUUUAUGACAUUUAAGGUAAUGAGGUAGACACUGCUGGGAUUGCUGUUUAAUCCAGAGGUGUAGGAGACAGAGUGUGGAGGAUGCCGGAUCAAUAUGUCAGUAAAUUACGGUACAGGGAAGCUCGGCCACAUUCCUCUGAACGGCCAUCAAAUUCACAAGCACCUCAAACUGACAGAAGCAAAGGGUGUAUUCCUGCCUCUCACCCAGCGCACACUGAGAUAAGCUCCAGCACCUCCUGCGACCCUGCCCAGGCCAAGCGGGUAUAGAUAAUGCAUGGAUGGAUGGACAUUCACGAGAAUAGACAGACAGAGGAUGUGCUCAUCAGUGGUUAUCCGAGAGCCUGAGUCCUCAUCUGCCUGGAAAAUGAAGACGGGCAAGCCCUUGCUUCACAUUUAGGCUGCUGUGGUCACCGGGCAGUACCCCUGUCCACUAAGCCAUCUGCUUCUGGAAUCGAAGUCUGACAGAGUAUCAGGGGCAGUUAGCCCACUGAGCGCUGGCUCUUUGUCAGUCAGGAAGUGGAGAGACGGGGUUGUGGGAGUGACAACGUGUGCAUUGUAGGACAUCACUGUGAGGCAGCCCAGAGGAAGCACUGCCAUACCACGACUCAUAGUCUAGCACCGCCGUCUCCAUGUACACCCCCUCCCUCCGACCACCCCCACCCCCACCCCCCAUUCACCAGCAAGCCCUUCCCACUACCCCCCAUGGAUCACUGAGGCUGGACCACAUUCUGGCAGGUUCUUGGAACAGGCCCGUCUGUCUGGAAGCAAAAAGUAGGAGAUGGAGGGCUAGUCUCUAAUCUGUUUUCAGCGUCUGCUUGGGUCAUUCAUCUCUAACAUGGAAUUAAGUCCUGGUGGGAAUGGCUGGGCCCACUUCCCACCUGGCGCCAGUAAAGUGGACACUCGCUGUGUGAAAAUCAUUUACCCAACUACCAUCCCUAGUGGUCCUAAAACACUUUAUCUGAUUGGCCUGUUGAAUUUAAUAUUUGUCACUUUUUGUGUGUGUGCUUUCAUGUAACAGGUAUACAUAAUAGAUCUGACCUUACUCCAAUACUGGCCUUACUUGUCUUUGAUGUGACUUGUCCCCCAUUUUAGAGGAGCAAAAGGAAUUGGACAAUUGGCUGCUCAACUGUUUCUCAACUAGCUGUAUGUCUUUGCAUCAUUAGUUAAUGCACCAGCAAGCUGACAGAUGAUCUAGAGGUGAAUUUGGGUGUGGAAUUUUGCAUUUGGAGUGUGUUACUAUGUUUCUCUUAGCAUGAGGACCAAAUAUGUGUCGAAGGCAGUAAAGGUGGCCAACAAAAGGUUGAUAAAUGAUCUGAAUAAAUCAUUCAGAGACAGCCAAAACACUGGAUUUGUCAAAACCAACUGUUUGAAAUAGUGAGAUCAAUGAUCACAUAAGACCUGGUAGACCAUGGAAAGCCACUGUUGUGGAUGACCAAAGGACACUUUCAGUAGGGAAGAAAAAUCCCAUUUCAUCUCUCAAACAAAUCAAGAACAUUCUCCAGGAAGUAGGCACAGAUGUGUGCCAUUAAGAUAAGACUAGACCAUCAUAAUAUCAGAGGGUUCGCUGCAAGAUUCAAACUAAUUGUUAGCCUCAGAAAUAUAACAGCCAGGUUACUCUUUGCUAUAUUUAAAAAAAGAAAACUGUAGAGUUCUGGAACAAAGUUGUAUUGAUAGAUAAGACAAGUAUUUACCUGUACCAAAAAAGUGGAAAAUGUGGAGAGUGAAAGGAACUGCUCAUGAUCAAAAGCACCCACAAGCCCCCACUCCCUACCCUGUCAUCUGUGACACAAGUGUUAUGACUUGGGCAUGAAUGGCUGCCAAUGGAACUGGCUCACAUGUCUUCACUGAUGAUGUGACUGCUGUUGGCAACAGCAGGAUGAAUUCUGAAGUGUACAGCAAUAUCUUAUCUGCUCAGAUCCAACCAAAUGCUUCAAAACUCAUUGGAUGCUGUCGGGGGCACUGUCAGGGAUUUUGGACCCUGAGAAAAGAUCUCUCAUUGGGCCCCACUACCCCAUGCCACCCCAUCCCUGCACAAGUACAUCACAAUUUCUGAGGGUCCCAGGGCCCCUGAAAUCAUUCUAACAUUCUAAUUUGCACCCAAGUACUGAAUAUGAUGACUUUAUUUCAGAUGAUGUAAUUUGUCCAAUUACUUUUGCUCCUAUAAUAUGGGGGACUACAUGGAUCACCAAAUAGAUACAUUUUCUCAUCACCAAAUCACAUUAAAGCUGACAGUCACUUUAACCUUAUAUCCAUCCAUUCGUUAUCUAUACCUGUUUAUCCUGGUCAGGGUUGUGGGGGUACUGGAGCCUAUCCCAGCAUGCAUUGGGUGAGAGGCAGGAAUACACCCUGGACAGAUCACCAAUCUAUCGCAGGGCAAUUUAACCUUAUAUUCGUUGUUUUAUUUCAAAUCCAAUAUGCUGGAGUACAAAGCCAAAACAACAGAAAUUGUCCCAAUAUGUACACAGUACAUGCAUACUCAUUGGAUCUGUCCAUCUCUAAAAGGUAUGUGCUAUACUUUCAGACCUGCAUUUCUUAGAUGAAAUCAGAUCUAUUGGGGUCAGUGACCAACAUUCACAGAAGGGGCCCAUUUCAUGAAGAUGUUAGGGAGAAUCAAAUUCCCUGUGGUCUAUGAGUCUUUUUCAAGGCUGUGGCAGAUUGAAAGGACUGUGAAAGGACCAAUAUGAAAUUAACAGUAAAUGAGAGCAAACCUGGGUCAAAGGUAGAAUGCAAUGUGGGUUGCCUGAGUCUUUGUGCCUGCAUUCCCUUUCUUGCAAUUUAACACUCCAAUCAGGAUUUAAUUUCCUGUUUCUUCACCUGAAAUGUUCCUCUGUCUGCCACUGACUUUAGCCUCUACACUUGUACCGCUUCCCUUUCCUCUCCCAGUUUUUUCUAAGAUCACUUUCAUAUAUGACAUUAAAAAAAAAUUGUUUCAACAUCUGUAUCAAAUCAAAGGCAAAUUAGUUUGGAUUCACAUUUUCUAGAUGCAAGUGUUUCUUUCCAUGAGAAUACAUGAUGUAGUUUGCAAGAAAUUGCAGUUCCUACUAAGUAAAUGCAGUAAACUUGAACCUACUUGUUUAAAAAAAAUGAAUUUGUGUUAUAAUGUAAUGGAAAUGUCAAAAAUGAGUAUGUCAGUGUUUCCCAAUGACAAUUUGGAGUUGAAUGUCUGAGGUUUAAAAAUGAGUUUUUAGUUGUGCAUCAAUUGUUGAGUGACACAUUCAUAAAAUCAGUUCUUAUUGACUAUGAUUCACUUCUACUUUGUUAUCUUUCCCCCAAUGGAACUCCAGUAUCCUGUCUUAAGUUAUUAUAACACUACUGGAAUAAAGACACAUGAAUCAUAAGCACAGUAUCAACUAUAUUCAAUUCAGUUCAAUUUUAUAUGUAUUGCACUUUUUACAGAGAGCUGUCGGUACAAGAUUAGUCAGUGACAGACAGAGGAACAUAAUCGGUAAAGAAACAGGAAAUUAAAUGGCAAGAAAAGGAAUGCAGAUGCAAAGACCCAGGUGACUCUCAUUGCAUUUCACCUUUGACCCAAAUUUUGUUUCAUUUACUGUUUAUUUCAUAUUGCUCCUUUCAUAUUUCCCCUGUCUACCUUUAGCCACUGCUGUUUCAGUUCAGUUAUAUAAAGUUAUAUUUUUUAAUGUCUUAGAUGCACUAUGAGUUUCUCUCUUAAUCUGCUCACAUGCUUUACUACCAUAUCCUGCUGAUUUAAAGCAGGCAUUGCCAAAUGCCAGUUUCUCUUAUUCAAAUACGUGUUUCAUUUUAUGGAUAUUGACAUGCCUUGGUGGGUUCCCACUUUCACAAGCCUGGCAUUCUCCCUCUCUUCUUAUAUCCUUCUCUGUCACUAUUCUAAGACUGAGCCAACUUGCCGUUUCUAUCCAUGGCAAGACUUCCUCAUCUCUUUUGGUCAAGUAAAGUUUAUCAUUAAUGCAAUUCUAUAAAUAAUUAAUCAUGUAAAUUCUCUUGGAAGAAGUAUGCAUGGUUAAAGUCUUCAGUUUAGACUGCCUGCAUACACUUCUGUAUGGGAAUUGACCCUUUUUUGCGGUUAUUUCUGGUCCAUUAACCAAUUUAUGAUGUACCAACCAUGUUUACCACCCAUGGGAUUGUCUGCAUAGUUAUUUAAUAACUGUGUUUGAAACAAUUAGGUGAAAUAAAUUUUUCUUGACAAAAUAUUUUGGUCCUUUUUCCAAAAAAUCCAGGUUCAAGUAAAAUGGAUAUAUGUAGGUCAUUGAUGUUAGUCUACAAUCUUUGGGGGGCAUUCUGGAAGCAAAGCCUCCACUGUCCUCCACCACACCACCCACCCACUUCAUCUCAUCCCUACUCAAUGUGUGGGUUUUUACACAUUCUUCUUAAUUAUUAUUAUUUUUUUAAAUUAUAUUUUGUUAAGUCAACAUUUCCUGUCAGGAAAAAUGCAUUUGACCUAAACACUCUUAGCAAUAAACACACCCCUCUGUAACAACAUGGAAGAACCUCCUUUCAUGGCAAAAGGCAAAUUCCUUUCUUGACCACAUGACCAUGAUUGCAGGAUUUCAGAUGUGGAUGUAUGAUCUUGAAAGAUCCAUCACAGUGACCUCCAUGAGUGAACCCACCCAAUCCUUUAUGUCAUGGGGGGGAGAAAGAGUCUUGCAAUUUCCGCCUGACAAUGAUAAACUUCUCCUGAAACUUUUGGAGGGUCAUGCUUGCAUCCUAAAUCGCGGCACCAUUGAUGAAGGGCCACAGGUUUUUGACAACUUAUUUUCCCUGGUAUAUCCGUCACUGAGGUUGAUUCCAUUAGCUGUUACUGACAGAAGGGGCCCGCAUCUGAGAAUAUAUCAGUCUUUUGUGAAGCAAUGCUGAGCAAUUCAACCUUUAACUGUCACUUUGUGCUUUAAAGGGUACCUUGGCUCUGUUCAGAAAAAUACAAAAUUGCCUUAAAUGGAAUAUGGUUUUCCCUGGAGCAGAAGACUUGUGUUUGACCCGGUCUGAGCGAUUAAAUGUUCAGACUAAAUUACACAGGCUAACCAAACAAUUUGUUUUUAAAUAUUUGUAUCCAUACAUCUAAAAUGCAACAAUAUACAAAAACAGAUCUUAAUUGUAGCCUGUAGAAAAUCAUUGGAUGGAUAUCAUUUGCAUUUAAUGAGAUAAUUUUGCAGGUGCAAAUAUUCAUUUCAUUAAUUAAGAAUAACUGCAUAUUGAGUGACUUGUUGUAUCGUCUAAUACCUGAUAUGUUUCAUGUACUUUUCACAGUUAUGAAUGAUGUCUCAGAUUCACAAAUUUAUCUUACAAUGUUCUGUUGCAACACUUGUAUUAUGUAGCUUUUUAAGACCAAUAACAAGAAAACGUGUUGAAAUGGUGUUGCCCAUUCAGUGUAAACAAUGUCAAGACAUACUUAACAUGUGUCAACUUCCAAAUGAAUGAAGUUGUGUCAACUUGCAACUAAAUGUACUGUACCAUCUUAAAAAGUAAAGGGGUUGUAUUAUCUUUACAAUACUCACUGGCCUUGCUACUCUAAUGGUCUUGAUUCUUUCACAAAUAUCCAGAACAUACUGUUACACAUGUGAAUAUGUAUGAAGUUGGGCAAACUGGCACCAGCUUACUAAAAGAGAGGCCCUUAUCAUGCUUUAUGUGGGCUGACCAUGUCUGAAAAAUGAGUUCCUGCAUCGCAUUAAUUCAAAAUGUUCUAGUAUGUUGUAACCGCAUAAAUCUUGUCCGUUCCCCCACCUCCCAAUGCCAGUUGAAAUUAAGUUCUCCAGCAACAUUUUUUUCUCCAGCAACAUUUUUUUAAAGACAAAAUAGGUCCAAGAGGUAGUAAUUUCUGGCAAUAUCUUCCCCUUUAUCGUGCAGUGAAAAAUUACAUUUAGAAGAACAUAGAGGGGAUAUUUUGCCAUGCGUUUUAUCUUUGACUGAGGAUCAUAUUUUCAGGCUCUUUGACACCUUCCCUGUUUCUUUGGUGGUGUGUAGUGGUGUAGUGGUAAAUGAAAAGGUGGGUAUACUCCAGCUAGUGAGGCAUCUACAAAUCAAUGUGCAUACACGCUACCGACUGCCCAUGCAUGGAAAGAUCUAGAUGCCACAUGUUAUGCACAUUUCCUAGCUUAUCCUAAAGUGGUAGUGGAUCUGUAGAGCAGAUGUUGUAGAUGUGCCAUUACCUAUUAACAAUGUAAGAAACAAACUGACAUUUUUUUAAAUGUUGGAUGAACUUCAGGAUAAGCAUGAACUUGGACAUUUAAAUUUGUCUUGCCAUGUCCAAGAUUAUUUGAUCGUUAAAAUCCUAUGGUAUUUUGUCGAAAGUCAAACCGGUAAAAAGAUAUAAGCAUAUACAAUACUGUUUAUAGUGCAUACUGUAUGUUGUGCAUCUUGAUAUGACUAGGGGUAGGUUCCUGGCAUAGCAACUUAUCGGCUUCCAAUGAGUUCCAAAACAUUUAUUCAUGACCUCUUAUUUACACUCAUUUACCACUUCCAAACAUCCAGAAAAAUGUAUAAUUUUAACCUGUUAAAAGUGCUUAACCUAGCUCUACCUGCAAUGUCAUGAAUUGAAUGAAUUCACUAAACAAUGUUUUUUUCACCACCGGAAAGACCAGGACUUGAUGAGGAC